UACGAAGGGGGCUAGCGUUGUUCGGAAUUACUGGGCGUAAAGCGCGCGCAGGCGGCUAUCCAAGUCAGUGGUGAAAGCCCGGAGCUCAACUCCGGAACUGCCUUUGAUACUGGGGAUCUCGAGUCCGGGAGAGGUGAGUGGAACUGCGAGUGUAGAGGUGAAAUUCGUAGAUAUUCGCAAGAACACCAGUGGCGAAGGCGGCUCACUGGCCCGGUACUGACGCUGAGGUGCGAAAGCGUGGGGAGCAAACAGG
rnacentral:rRNA from 1 species